UUCUUUUGCCAUUGAUGAAAACAAAACAAAACAAAACAAACCCGUAAACUAUACAUUCUCUCUGCAAAAUUAGGGCACCAAACACAACAAAAAGCCUCUUCCUUCGAUUCGAUGUGUAACAACACCAAAACUACUCCUCUUCCUCGUUAAAAUCUCCAGUUCUCGAAACAAAAUUCGUUCUUUACAUAUUCCAAGGAUUCAAUUUUCUAGAUCUCUUUCGAGUUUUUUUCUUCGAUAAUCUUGAUUCGUUCUUUAGGGUUUCGGCAAGAUCUCUCUUCGUGUGAUAUAUAAACUGUACAUCUUCGUGUUUUUGCACCGAUUCUAACUCUUUUUAACUGAGUCUAGUGAUUUUCUUUGGCGGUUCGGUUUUUGAAUCGAGGAAUUUUAGUUAACCCUAGUUAAUUUUUUUUUAGAAGAAGAAACCCUAGAUUUUUGAAUUGGAAUGAAUAAUCCAAGAGGUAGGUAUCCGCCUGGGAUUGGGAAUGGUCGUGGUGGUGGAGGGGGUGGUGGGUAUGUGAAUUCAAACCCUAAUUUUCAACCAAGAAACCCUCAACAACAACAAUAUGUGCAGAGGAAUCCUGUACAGAAUCAACCUCAGUAUCAGCAACAACAGCAACAGCAACAACAACAACAGUGGUUGAGAAGAAAUCCUAUGGGCGGGAAUGAAUCAAGUGUGAAUGAAGUCGAGAAAGCAGUGCAGUCCGAAACCAUCGAUUCGAGUUCUCAAGAUUGGAAGGCAAGGCUAAAGAUCCCACCUAGUGAUACACGUUAUAGGACAGAGGAUGUGACGGCUACAAAAGGAAAUGAGUUUGAAGAUUACUUUUUGAAGCGUGAGCUGCUGAUGGGGAUAUACGAGAAGGGUUUUGAAAGACCUUCUCCCAUCCAGGAAGAAAGCAUUCCAAUUGCUUUGACCGGAAGCGAUAUUCUUGCCAGAGCUAAAAAUGGGACAGGAAAGACAGCUGCUUUCUGCAUUCCUGCUCUGGAAAAAAUAGAUCAAGACAACAAUGUGAUUCAAGUUGUUAUACUAGUUCCUACUAGAGAAUUGGCGCUCCAGACAUCACAAGUCUGUAAGGAGCUCGGGAAGCAUCUGAAGAUUCAAGUCAUGGUGACCACUGGAGGAACCAGUCUAAAGGAUGACAUCAUGCGCUUAUACCAACCCGUGCAUUUGCUCGUUGGAACACCCGGAAGGAUUCUUGACCUUGCCAAGAAGGGUGUUUGUGUACUGAAAGAUUGCUCAAUGAUUGUUAUGGAUGAGGCAGAUAAGCUUUUGUCUCCAGAGUUUCAACCUUCAGUCGAGCAGUUAAUUCGUUUUCUACCUACAAGUCGACAAAUCUUGUUGUUUUCAGCAACAUUUCCUGUAACUGUUAAGGAUUUUAAAGAUAGAUAUCUACAAAAGCCGUACAUCAUUAAUCUUAUGGACGAGCUUACCCUCAAGGGAAUAACACAAUUUUAUGCUUUUGUGGAAGAGAGGCAGAAGGUCCACUGCUUGAACACUCUCUUCUCGAAGCUUCAAAUUAACCAGUCAAUCAUAUUUUGCAACUCUGUUAAUCGGGUAGAGCUGUUAGCGAAAAAAAUUACAGAGCUCGGCUAUUCUUGCUUCUAUAUUCAUGCGAAAAUGUUGCAAGAUCACCGAAACAGAGUGUUUCACGAUUUUCGCAAUGGUGCCUGUAGGAAUCUUGUUUGUACGGAUUUAUUCACAAGGGGUAUUGACAUUCAAGCAGUUAACGUUGUUAUAAACUUCGAUUUCCCCAAGAACUCCGAAACUUAUCUUCACAGGGUUGGUCGAUCUGGAAGGUUUGGACAUCUUGGUUUGGCUGUGAAUUUGAUCACAUAUGAGGACCGCUUCAACUUGUAUAGGAUUGAACAAGAACUUGGGACGGAAAUUAAACAAAUUCCUCCGCAAAUAGACCAAGCUAUAUACUGUAGGUGACCUGUGAUACUGAUCCGAUCUCGCGCUCAACAAUGGUGAGUAAAAGAGAAGGUCCCGCUACGUGUACAUAUCAACUAGUAAAGGUAAGGUGCUUCACUUCAGAGAAGGUGUCUUUUGAGUGUCAUAUGAAUAUCAUGGCAAUGAGGAGUUGUACGUGCGAUGCUUUUGGUUGACCGUACGCUGCUGGUUCUGGUUCCUAGUGAUUCAACGAGCUCUGUAUGUUUCGAUAGUCAGUUCUAGACUUUCAUAAUGCUAAAACCUUUUUAAGAGAGGGAGGGUUAUCAGAAGAAGACUUUAGAAGGAUACUUGUUAUUUAGAACAUCAUCAAAAUCAUCUGGAGAAUUGAAUUUAUUUUAGUUUGCUUAACUUUCUUACUUUGUUUAUGUUUUCACCUGUUGAAGUGCUCCUUACACUGCUAGUUACUUCUACUAUUAGUGAUCUGAUCCAGAAACAUUACUGCUGUUUUAAUUACAUGUUUUAUCUAUAAAAUCCAUCCGACUUCUGUGUGGUUUAUCAGUA